UCAGGAGAUAGUUUAAUAAAAACCGCAGCUUUGGGAGUUGCAAAUGUAAGUGUGAGCCUUAUUCUCUUGAA
rnacentral:tRNA from 1 species